rnacentral:rRNA from 1 species
UGCAUCGAUGAAGAACGCAGCGAAAUGCGAUACGUAGUGUGAAUUGCAGAAUUCCGCGAAUCAUCGAGUCUUUGAACGCAAGUUGCGCCCGAGGCUUGUCCGAGGGCAUUUCCGCUAGAGCGUCACCGCGCCCCCCACCGAUCCGCUCCCGCCGCGAGGCGCCAGUCGGGUCGAGUGCAAGUGGCCGUCCCGGCGAAGUGGCCUUCUUUCACGAGGAGGCCGUCCUUGGAAGGGUCGGCUGAAAUGGAUGGAAUCGGGCCGCCGUGGUGACACAGUCCGCGAUCGGGUGAUUUUGUCGCGAGCCUCCUGCGCUGCGGGAGGCUCUUGGUGAAUUUUUCUAAGUGCUUGGCUGCGUCCCCCAGUUGGCUCGGGUUACCUCAUGCAGGUCGAGCGCGCCCCCGCGGCGCGCGUCACGCAUCAGACCUCUAAUCGGAAAAGACUACCCGCUGAGUUUAAGCAUAUCAAUAAGCGGAGG